rnacentral:lncRNA from 1 species
CAGGAUCUAUGAAUGUAGAACCGCCAAUGCUCACUGACAAUACAGUAACUGGGACACAUUUAAAGGUAGUAUCCAGACAUCUUUAUAAGAGGAAGAACACUCUUACCUCGCCCCUUUCCCGGUCGCUAAGGCAGCCAAUGGACUCUGGUGUCCUACAAAGUUGGAUCAGGCAUGCAACUUCCCACUGUGCUGACUCCAAUAUGGCAGACUUCAUCACUGUUAUUGUUUCUGUUCAAUAACAUGGCAACGGCUUACAAAUUCUCUUGGUAUGUUCAAUUACAAAUGUGUUUCUUUCAAUCAAGUUUAAUGAGUUGGUUUUAACUGUUAAGGUCAUUCUUCAUUCAAGUGGCGGG